GCUGAAAAAAACAAUAGAAACCAUUACAGAAUUUGUAAUGGUUUUAAUGGUUCUUAUUGGAAUUCUAACGGUUUUAAUGGACACUGUAAUGGUCUCUGUGGGUCUCUAUUGGUACUUUGCUUUUUUCUAUUGGUGGCGUGUAUUGUCUAUUGGAUACCAUUAAGGACCAAUAGAACACCUUUAGAAACUUCUAGUGGUAUCUACUGGACACCAGUAGAAACCAUUAUGACUCCAAUAAAUUUAGUGGUUUCUUUGGAAAACUGUAAUGGUCUUAGUGGGUAGGCUACUGCUGAAAAAAAAAUGAACACACAAACAAUAGAAACUAUUACAAAAUUUGUAAUGGUUUUAAUGGUUAUAAUGGGAAUUAUGUUGGUUGUAAUGGUCACAGUAAUGGUCCCUGUGGGUCUCUAUUGGUAAAUUGCUUUUUUCUAUUGGUGGUAUGUAUUGUCUUGGAUUGCCACCAUACGUCAUUUGGAAAGGUUAUUUUUAAUUCAUUUAAUUUUUUUUUUUUUAAAUCAACUCGACUCGUCAUGGCCUUCAAAAUUGACUUGAAAAGUUGGUCUUUGUUUUGUCUGUCGGAUUUGGUCCAAAUUUAGCCCAAAAAUAGAUGUGAAAUAACAGUGAAAUUCUGCGUGACUUCCACGUGCUGUAAUGUGCGCGCGCGCAGAACUGGAGCUGAGGACGUCACCAUGGAAACGAGGCGGCAGCCCAACCGUCAAGCAGCUGAUCGCUGACACUCAAUGUGGUUUCACUUUUUUUUUUUAGAAAUGGUUUAGCGUCGUCAGAAAAAGUCCGUUAGCAUCUCAAAGAAGUGCCAGAAAAAAACCUCUAUGACGCAGGAGAAGUUCCUGAUUUUAACAUUUCUGAAGGGAGCUGCUGACAGAGAGGAUGAAAACAUACACAUUUUGAUGUCCACGCUGUAGGAGCAUUACUAAAUAAUGCUUAUGUUCCUAGGUUCUUCCAUGCUGAUGGCUGUGCUCUAGAGUCAUAUCUCCUGUCGAAGAACAUUUUUAGACAUUAUGAACCAUGAAUAAGUUUAGCUCCAACCCCAGUUAAGCAGACCUGAGCAGCUGAUCAAGGAUCAGCAGAAACUCUGCAGAACGGUGGUCCUCCAGCCCAGGACUGGACACCAGUGUUAGUGUCUGUCUCAGAAGCUGAAGAAAAAAGGCCACACCUUAUAGGAAAUAAACGCCUCCUAAGUGUAUGGAAAUACCUGGCUGAGGAGAUCAGUGACAUAAACCAGAUAAAACUGUCAGUGGUCUGAGACAGCUACAAGCCACAAAAACAGUUCAUAGUUCCUGCAUUUCUAUAAUGCAUUAAUGAAUAACAAUAAUUAAAAUAAAAUGUAAUGUCAAGGUUUUGUGUUAAUUCCAGCUAUGUUGAGUAUUCUGUGAAUAAUUUUGAUUUUAGGUGCAUAUUCUUAAUUCUUUGCAAAACAACCUGAACUGUUUGCUAUUGAAAGGUUGGUAUGAAGUUUAAAUAAAUAAAAACAUUAUAUUCUUGACAAAAC